AGCCCAGUCUUACAGCUCUGCGGAGGAGCCCAGCCCUGGAUGCUCAGCUUUUCCCAAUUGGUGAUUGGCAUUGAGCACAGAAGGUUCACCAUGGAGCUGGCGCUGAGCUGGGUUUUGCUUAUUGCUACUUUAAAAGGUGUCCUGUGUGAGGAGCAACUGGUAGAGUCUGGGGGAGGCUUGGUGCAGCCUGGAGCGUCCCUGAGACUCUCCUGCGUGGCCUCGGGAUUCACCUUCAGUAGCUAUUACAUGGCCUGGAUCCGCCAGGCUCCAGGGAAGGGGCUGGAGUGGGUCACAUGGAUUAGCAAUACUGGUGGUAGCACAGGCUACGCAGACUCCGUGAAGGGCCGAUUCACCAUCUCCAGGGACAACGGCAAGAACACGCUGUAUCUGCAGAUGAACAGCCUAAGAGCCGAGGACACCGCCUUGUAUUACUGUGUGAGAGACACAGUGAGGGAACAUCAGUGUGAGCCCAGACAAAAACCUCCGUGCAGGGGUUCUUAG